UACGUAGGGGGCAAGCGUUGUCCGGAAUCAUUGGGCGUAAAGCGCGCGUAGGCGGCCCGGUAAGUCCGUUGUAAAAGUCGAAGGCUCAACCUUCGAAAGCCGAUGGAUACUGCCGGGCUAGAGUCCGGAAGAGGCGAGUGGAAUUCCUGGUGUAGCGGUGGAAUGCGCAGAUAUCAGGAGGAACACCGGUGGCGAAGGCGGAUCUCUGGGCCUUACCUGACGCUCAGGCGCGAAAGCUAGGGGAGCGAACAGG
rnacentral:rRNA from 1 species